UUACUUCAUAGAUAAAAUAAAUAUGUACGUAAUGUCGGAUUGUUGGCGCUAACCACUAAUUCCAAAAGCUCGAGCCGUUAAAAAUACGCAACCAAUUCACUUAAAGCGUACAGAUACAUCGUCCACCGAGCUCAGUGGCUUGGCCCAAUGCGCUAACCAUUAAUUCCAAAAACUCGAGCUGCUAGAAAUAAUCAAUCAGUUCACUUAACACGUACAGACACAGCGCCAUGGGUCUUGAUUGCAGUUUAGCUCAACCAGCCUCACGUCACUUCGAACAUGACUCGAUCCGAUCUAACCUUCCGCCAUUUCGAAUGUGACUUAGCCUAACCUGAAUUCUGACCAUAGGGAAUAAUGCU
rnacentral:lncRNA from 1 species